rnacentral:rRNA from 1 species
AGUGAACGCUGGCGGCGUGCCUAAUACAUGCAAGUAGAACGCAGUUGCGAACGGGUGAGUAACGCGUAGGUAACUGCCUGGUAGCGGGGAAUAACUAUUGGAAACGAUAGCUAAUACCGCAUACUACCAGAUGGGCCUGCGUUGGAUUAGCUAGUUGGUGAGGUAACGGCUCACCAAGGCAACGAUACAUACCCGACCUGGGAGGGUGAGCGGCAAAACUGGGACUGAGACACGGCCCAGACUCCUACGGGAGGCAGCAGUAGGGAAUCUUCGGCAAUGGGGGGAACCCUGACCGAGCAACGCCGCGUGAGUGAAGAAGGUUUUCGGGUCGUAAAGCUCUGUUGUUAAGGAAGCGGUACUUAACCAGAAAGGGACGGCUAACUACGUGCCAGCAGCCGCGGUAAUAC